rnacentral:rRNA from 1 species
GGCGGCGUGCUUAACACAUGCAAGUCGAACGGAGUUGAUUUAAGGAAGCAAGCUUGCUUGAAGAAUUGAAUUAACUUAGUGGCGGACGGGCGAGUAACACGUGAGCAACCUACCUCUUACAGGGGAAUAACAACGGGAAACCGUUGCUAAUACCGCAUGAUAUGUGCUGAAGGCAUCUUUGGCACAUCAAAAGAGCAAUCUGGUGGGAGAUGGGCUCGCGUCUGAUUAGCUAGUUGGUAAGGUAACGGCCUACCAAGGCGACGAUCAGUAGCCGGACUGAGAGGUCGAACGGCCGCAUUGGGACUGAGACACGGCCCAGACUCCUACGGGAGGCAGCAGUGGGGAAUAUUGGGCAAUGGGCGAAAGCCUGACCCAGCAACGCCGCGUGAAUGAUGAAGGCCUUCGGGUUGUAAAAUUCUUUGGACAGGGACGAAGAAAGUGACGUA